rfam:Rattus norvegicus chromosome 5, whole genome shotgun sequence.
GGGGAUUUGGCUCAGUGGUAGAGCGCUUGCCUAAGAAGCACAAGGUCCUGGGUUCUGUACCCAGCCCCG